rnacentral:rRNA from 1 species
ACACAUGCAGUCGAGCGGUAGAGAGAAGCUUGCUUCUCUUGAGAGCGGCGGACGGGUGAGUAAUGCCUAGGAAUCUGCCUGGUAGUGGGGGAUAACGUUCGGAAACGGACGCUAAUACCGCAUACGUCCUACGGGAGAAAGCAGGGGACCCUCGGGCCUUGCGCUAUCAGAUGAGCCUAGGUCGGAUUAGCUAGUUGGUGGGGUAAUGGCUCACCAAGGCGACGAUCCGUAACUGGUCUGAGAGGAUGAUCAGUCACACUGGAACUGAGACACGGUCCAGACUCCUACGGGAGGCAGCAGUGGGGAAUAUUGGACAAUGGGCGAAAGCCUGAUCCAGCCAUGCCGCGUGUGUGAAGAAGGUCUUCGGAUUGCAAAGCACUUUAAGUUGGGAGGAAGGGCAGUUGCCUAAUACGUAACUGUUUUGACGUUACCGACAGAAUAAGCACCGGCUAACUCUGUGCCAGCAGCCGCGGUAAUACAGAGGGUGCAAGCGUUAAUCGGAAUUACUGGGCGUAAAGCGCGCGUAGGUGGUUUGUUAAGUUGGAUGUGAAAUCCCCGGGCUCAACCUGGGAACUGCAUUCAAAACUGACUGACUAGAGUAUGGUAGAGGGUGGCGGAAUUUCCUGUGUAGCGGUGAAAUGCGUAGAUAUAGGAAGGAACACCAGUGGCGAA